GUAAGGUUGCGGUAAAAACAAGAUAAGGAGAAUGAGAGGUUAAACAAGUGGCUGACCAAAAUCCUUCAGAUGAUGAUUACUUGCUAAAUCGCAAGACCGUUUACGGUUUCUGAGGUUUCUUUGGGAUGCUUGCCAUGGUCUCACUUUGAUCAUUUUGAUGGUUGGUUCCUGCAGUAGCGUCUUUUGCACUUGGGAUUUAACAAACAGAGGGUAUCAAAGAAGGAUGUUAUGAUGGAGGAAGCACUGCAUUUGCAGUGAUUCUUGUGAUUGUUGUCACAGCUGUCAGUGACUACAAGUAGCCUCUCUACCAGCAAUUUCAGCUUCUCUCUCCUCCUCCACGCUGAGACGAGAGUUAUGGACUUGGGUAAAAAUCGAAGACUGUUGCUGGCCAUGGAAGAUAUACCGUAACACAAUAAGCAAGUGAAGGCUGCUUGCAGAUCAAACUCAUUACCUAAGGUUAUACAUGAUGAGCUAGUGAAAUUGAUGGGUGGAGGAUAAGUAUCUGAUCUACACUUUGCUAAGUAACUCACGCAGGUCCUACAUUAAUACUGUUGCCUGGGCUCUAAGGAUUUGGGAAGACAACUGUUUGCUUGCUCCAAAGAAGCAGCAGCAGCAGGGAAUGUCUUGCAUGCUUAUUGCUGGAGAUGUUUACCGACCUGCUGCCAUCCAUCAACUUUUCAUUUUAGCUGAACAGGUUGGUGUGCUGGUUCAUACAGCAGGGACUGAUGUAAGACCUGCAGAUGUAGCUAAAGAAGGUCUAAAAGAAGCUAAAAAAGAGUAAUUUGGAAGUAGUUAUCAUGAAUACUGCAGGGAGGCUUCAGAUAGAUAAAGGCAUGAUGGACGACGUGAAGAAAUUUCUGAAUCGCACAGAAGUGUUACUUGUUUGUUGAUGCCAUGACUGGACAAGAAGCGGCAGCUAUGGUUCAAUUAUAGAGAUAGGAAUCACAGAGCCAUUUUGAGAAAGCUAGAUGGUGAUUCAAGAAGUGUUUCUGCUUUGAGUUUCAAGGAGGUAUCAGGAAUAACAAAACAGCAGGUUGUUUGAAGUCUGCUUCCAGCGAAGAUGGUGUCGAACCGCAGCGUGCUAUAUACUUAGCAGACAAAGCUGUGUUGUCUUCCUCUGGCUUUCAGGCUGAUGUGAAAGCAUUGCAGAAGGAUCUCAAAUCCAGACACGUGGUGUGGUUUGAUUUGGUCCUUUGAUCCAAAUCCAGACACUUGGAGAAGGGUGUGUCUUUACUUACGACGCUGUUGGAUCAUAUGAGGGAGUUGGAUACGGUGCUCAAGGUUCUGGUUCCACACUCAUCAUGCCUUUCCUUGACAACCAGCUCAAGUCUCCGACUCCUCUUCUGCUACCUAAACAGUUUUGUUGAUUAUCUUCAUCCCUGCUUUGGUGUUAUGCAUUGUUGUUAGCAUAAAAUGAAUAAUUCAGUUGCUUAUUUAAUCGUCUUCUGCCACCAUGUAGGAUUCGAACACUCCCCUUUCAGAGACCGAAGCAGUUGACUUUGGUUAAAACUGUUUUCGCCUCUACUACCGAGAGGGAUAUCUACACUAGAGACAAGCUUGAGAUUAUGAUACUUAAGGCUGACGCCCGACGGUAUCAAGACUGAACUUAAGGACAUGAGGAAAGACUAAGCUCAUUUAGCCAACCCAUGUCCUUGUGGUUUGUUAUUUUCACUUCAACAUUAGGCUUCCUGAGUUGUAGAACUCGUAUGAACUGUUGUUGGGUUUGAUGGUUCACAGUUGAAAUCAUGACUCGUAUCUGAAGUUUCUCCAAAACUGUUUUCUUUUUGUAUGAAUCACUCAAAUCAUUGUGUUCAAACACUACUUCUCUCGUU